GUUUUGGGCGUAGGUUAUCUCCACUGAAAUUGUUGCUCCAUGGAGAUGAGGUCCUUAGCAGCUGCCGUGUUGAUUAUGUGCUCAAAAAAAGGUCAUGAUCCCAUAAUAAAACAGAUGCUGCAUGAUUGAUCUGUUCAAUCACUUUGUAUUCUGCUUUUUCAAAGCAGUCUUUACGAGCAAAUUUUCAAAUUGAAGUGUGGAAAGAAUUGAAUAAUUCCCAAAUGAGUCAGACAGAAACAUAAAAUUGGAACCAGACAACAAAAAUGUGAAACAGGAAUUCCUAAAUCUGAAUACAUCUUAGUGAAAAUACGACCCACUGAAGAACAAUUCCAAAGGCGAUGCUCGACGUUGAAGAGGAUCCUUGAUCUACCAUGUUGCUCCAAAUAUUGAGGUGGUGCUGUGGACCUUAUCAAGAAAAAGGGAGACCUUUCAUUGUGAGCAAACUGAAGACCUGAGAGGGAUGACAUGGAGUAUUUUAUAGAAGAAACCUCCAUCUCUUUUUACUUUGGCACUCUACUUCUGAACUAGCAUAGUACUUCUUCUCAAAGGGAUGGCACAGUUUCCACCUUUUUGUUUCUACUACAAAUCGUGAUAUUCGAUGGAAUAAUGACAUUGCUGGAAGUAAGCUGACACAAAAGAUUUUUAAAAUACUCUGUCUCAUAUCUGAAAAUAGUGACUGCUCUACAAGCAUGUUUCAACUGAUCCUAUCUGAUGCUAGAAUAGUUAACAAAGCAAAUGUGUACAUUACUUACUCAGCAUAAUUGUAAAGUGAUUUUAUUUUUAAACAGGGUUUUAGAAAAGUUACUAAAUGAGAAGUUUUAAAACAUUUAAUAACAAUUUAAAUAUGGAGAAUAAAAGCAAAUCAGUACUGUUGCAUUUUAUGGACUUUUCA